UCUACCUACACCUGUUGUAUUCAUCAUUUCCCUGUCAGGUCUACCUACACCUGUUGUAUUCAGCAUUUCACUGUAAGGUCUACCUACACCUGUUGUAUUCAGCAUUUCACUGUAAGGUCUACCUACACCUGUUGUAUUCAGCAUUUCACUGUAAGGUCUACCUACACCUGUUGUAUUCAGCAUUUCACUGUAAGGUCUACCUACACCUGUUGUAUUCAGCAUUUCACUGUAAGGUCUACUACACCUGUUGUAUUCAGCAUUUCACUGUGAGGUCUACCUACACCUGUUGUAUUCAGCAUUUCCCUGU
ensembl:lncRNA